AACAUUAUGGUGUUGGUGUAUCAAUUUUUGUCACGAUAUUCCAUUUAAUUCAUUUAUAAUUAUUUUGUUAUCCAAUUUCCUCAUCUGAUUUAUAAUAAUAUUUAUUAAUAUAUUUAUAUUGAAAGAAAAACAACACACAUUAUUUUAGAGGUUUAUAUAAUAUUUUAGAGGACUUUAACGGAAUUAUUUUAUUGAUUCUAAAUAUUUUAAUAUAUCAUAAUUUUAUUGAAAAUAUUGAUGAAAAUUUAGCAAGACUCAAAUUAAAUAUUUGAUGAAUUAAAAUAAAAAAGUGAGGAGAAAUCGAUGAAAUUUAAUUAAUUACAUUUUUACAAAUAUCUGUAUAUAUAAUUAUUAGAAUAUAUACUACAAAUAUAUAUAAGUCAAACAUAAGAAAAACCAUUUAGAAACAUCAACAUAUAUAGAAUAAUGAAAUUUUACUAUUACAAAUUUUAUAAGAAGUUUAAGUUUAUUAUAAAUAAAACGAAGAAACUGUAAACAAAAUAAAACUAGAAGUACAAACACAAUAACACGGAUACCAUAUUUGAAAAGUAUUUAGAAAUUUUAAAUAGUGAAAAUAUGAAAAUUAUGAGCAUUUAAAAAAAGUUUCUAAAAUUAUUGAAAUGAUUAAACAUUUUAAAAGUAUAAUUGAUGUAAACAUGUUCGAAACUAUAAAAUGUUAUAAUAUAUAUAUAUAUAUAUAUAUAUAUCAAAUAAUAAUACUAAUAAUUAUACUUAUUGUUUAAAAAAUAUUAUUUGAGAAUUUUUUUUUGUGAAAUGAAAACAUCGAAAAAUUAAAAGGAAAAUCAAAUCAAAUUGCAAAUAUAUAUAACAUUGUAAUACUAAUAUUAAUGAAAAAUACCUAAAUUUAUAAAGUCUACUGAGUAAUUAUAAACACACACCUUUAUAUACUAUUCAUUAUAUGUUUUACGUUUUUCCUGUUAAUAAUAGUUUGUUACAUAAAACGACAUAAUUAAAAUAAGAAUUCAAAAUAGGAAAUUAUGCUUUUUCUUUGACUGGCUGUUUGUUACAUAAAACGACAUAAUAAAAAUUAAGGUUAAUUUAUAUAACCGUCAAUAAAAAAUGUAACCGUAAUUUUUAUUAAUUUACAGAUAAUGAUUUUACUAAACAUUUUAGGAGGGCAUUAAAUUUUAAUUAAUUUGACAUUUGAAGUUUAAGUAAAAUAUGUGAAAACAAAUAAUAUUUGACACAUGGGAGUAAUCAUCGUUACGGUUAAUUAAGAUAUAAUAAUUACAAACUCUUGACCAAGGCUCACACAUGAACAAUGCAUGAUUGCAAAACUGUGUAUUUAAGGCACUAAAGGAGUACACUUUAUAGUAUAUAAACUCAAGUGGGAACCAUCAGAUUCCUCGUACUUCUAAGAAUAAUGUUUUCCCCAGUUUCUGCAAACGCCGGAAACCCACCACCAAAAUGCAACAAACCGACUGUUUCGUCUCUUCCACUGCCAGAUGAUAUCUCAAUGAUUUGCUUGGCGUACGUUCCAAGAUGUGACCACCCUUCACUCUCUGAAGUCUGCAAGACUUUCAACCAAAUCAUCGCUUCCUCGGAGCUUAACCGCCUACGUUCACUCCAUAAAAGCACCGAGAACGUUCUUUACCUUGGCUUGAGAUUCAGUCGCGACCAAAAACCUAUUUGGUACACUCUCAAUCAAAAACCUUCCAAAGAAGAGUCUAACUCUUUGAACCAUAAGUUGGUUCCGUAUCCUUCUUUCCCUUGUCUGCCUUGUUGGGGGUCUAAUGUUAUUGUCAUCGGUCAAGAGAUGUAUGUUUUCGGUGGAUGCAUCGACGAUGAGUUAACCACUGAUGCUUUUGCUAUUGAUUGUAUAACUCGCACGUGCCGGUCUCUUCCUAGCAUGCGUGUGGCUCGUGGCUGCGCUGCUUUUGGUGUUGUGGAUGAGAAGAUUUAUGUACUCGGAGGGUGUAACAAGAAGAAGUCGUCGAAAGAUUGGCUUGAGGUUUUCGACCUCAAGAAUCAAACUUGGGAAAGCUUUCCAGGUUUGUUUCUUUUAGUUUUUUUUUUUCCUUUUUAUUGGAUAUCAUCAUGAGGUUUUGGACCGAUUAGUUAAUUUUAUAUGCAAAAAAACCACGUCAUAUAAUAUUAGUUUCUUCUUAAAUGUAAAUCGUGAUCUUCCAGGUGUGUGCAACAAAAAUUUGCACGAGAUAACGCUCAAUAGUUUUGUGAUGAACGAGAAAAUUUAUAUAAUGGAUCGUAUAAGAAGCUUUGUGUAUGAUCCGAAGAAAAAUAAAUGGGCGAGUGAAAGCUCGUUGAACAGUGGAUGGGUAGUUGGUUCGUGCGUUAUUGACAACAUGUUGUACACUUUCGGAAUUGAGAAAGGAAUUAGCGUGUACGAUCCGAAAGCUAGGACAUGGAGAAAACUGAAAGGUGUUGAUGAGGAUCUACCUGACAUGCGUGGUAUUCAAGGAGGGUCUAGAAUGGUGAACCAUGGAGGGAAACUAGUGAUUUUGUUUAAGCGUAAUGAAAGUGGGGAAACAAAGAUUUGGUGUACAGAGAUUGCGUUGGAGAGGCGUGGACAAGGAGAGCAUUGGGGGAAGGUUUUGUGGACUAAUAUUGUAGCUACUUUUGAAAACUCCCCCACCAUUGUUCAGUGCCUAGAUGUCAUCAUAUGAUUAAUUAUGUAUGCUUUCCUAGUUGAGUAUGCUCGACUUUGUGUUGUUUAUCUCAUACCUACCUUUUCUCUAAUGAAUUCGACUCUUUUGAUUUUCUACUUUCAACCCACAAUCAUUUUUAACAACAGUAACAAAACUAAAUGGAUCCAACCGUUGAAAGCCCAAGACUGGUCACCUCCCAAUUCCCAUGUUCGAACACCACUAAAAAUUUAAGCACAGUUUCUGGAUCAGUUGACUUCCUGAAUUUGGACUUAGUGGAUAUGAUGUUUCAUAUGAUAGAAGGUCUCCAACUAACCAUUUUAUCCCAAGACUAUCUGGACAUAACUCCUAAAAUACAAAUACCUAAACUAUCAACAACAAAAAAAAACUGUUGGUCUACAAACUAUCCUUAAUUUUUUUUCUUUGGUUACUCUACAACUUUGCUCUUUAGGCCGGAUGUGAUUAAUCCAAUCCACACCUUCCAAAACGCCGUGGGACACACACUACAUUUAAUUUAUUCGCUGGAAGCCGUUUCUAUAAUGUAUUACCAUAUCUGGAGGUUAACUAAUUCAAAACUUCAACAAAAGAAGAAUAUAAUAAAACUACAAAUAUUCUCUCUAUUUUUAAUGUUGGGCUUAUUUGUGUACUAACCAUAAGAAAAGGGAAAUGGGUUUUCUAGAGAGAAGAAGAAAGAGAUAGGAAGAGAGAAUUGGAGAAAGAGGGUGUUUUUGGUUAUUUAACAAAUUGGGGGUUUUUUUUUGGUAGUUAUAGGGGCAAAUUUCUCUUUAAUGUUUGACCUUGAAUUUGGGUUUGUUUCCCUAGUUCAAUUUAUUACCUUUCUACUGAAUGAAAAUUUGUAAUUUGAAUACUUCGGAUUGAAGGCAUUUCCUAAUUAUUCGAAUCAAUAUUAUUUAACUUAUAAGUUAUACUAGAGCUUGACUUGCACGUCCGUGCGGGGUUAAUUUUUACAUUUUAAUAAAUUAUUUAAUGGCAUUUCUAAAUACAAAAGAAGAAUAUAAUAAAACUAUAAAUAUUCUCUCUAUUUUUAUGUUUGACCUUGAAUUUGGAUUUGUUUCCCUGGUUCAAUUUAUUAUCUUUAUAUUGAAUAAAAAUUUGUAAUUUGAAUACUUCAGAUUGAAGGCAUUUCCUAAUUAUUCAAAUCUGUGUUAUUUAACUUAUAAGUUAUACUAGAGCUUGAUUCGCACACCCAAUUUUUACAUUUUAAUAAAUUAUUUAAUGGUAUUUCUAAAUACAAAAUAAGAAUAUAAUAAAACUAUAAAUAUUCUCUCUAUUUUUAUGUUUGGCCUUGAAUUUGAUUUUGUUUCCCUAGUUCAAUACCUUUAUACUGAAUGAAAAUUUGUAAUUUGAAUACUUCAGAUUGAAGGAAUUUCCUAAUUAUUCAAAUCUAUGUUACUUAACUUAUAAGUUAUACUAGAGCUUGAUGAUGUUAAUUUUUGCAUUUUAAUAAAUUGUUUAAUGACAUUUCUAAAUACAUAAGUUAUUUGGAUUUUUAGAUUCCUACAAACCUAUCCGGAUCUAAAAGGAUCCAAAUCCGAACCCCGUCUGAAAAUUUAUAAUAUCCAAACAAAUUUUAAUUUUAAACCCAAAAAUCCUAUACAAAAAAUGAUCCGUACCCAAAUGGGUCAGUUGAAUUCUUGUCAUAAAUGAAUCAAUUUCAUUAAAGCUUGUGAAAUUAUUUUGGAUAACACAUAAAAUAAAUGUUCUCGAUUAUUAUGUAAAUAUAAUUAAUGAAAUAUUUAGGAAGAGUGAAAAAUGGAAUGUAAAAGAUGUAAUAAAAAUACUUAAAAUAGAUAAGUUCUACUAUUUUUUACUUUGUAAUAAAUGAAGCUGAAUUAAUUAGAAAAUACAAUUAAUAAAGUGGCUAUAAUUAGUUUAAAAAGGAAUGAAAAUAUGUAAGAAAUCAUUUAAAAUUAGGUAAGUAUUAUUUUGUACUUCAAUUUUAAUAGACUACUAGAUCAUGACCCGCCCGACCGGGCGGGUGUUUAUUUUUGUUUCAAAUUUGUUUUGUUUAUAUUCAUGAUUUAUUUGUAUUAGGUAGUCUGUAUUACAUUUAAUAGUAACUGUAUCCGUGUUAGUAAUAAAAUUUUAUCAACAUAUUUAAUAUGAAAUAGAGAAUAUGAAAAAUAAAAAUGAUGAUAAUGAUGCAUUAACAUAAGAAAUAUAAAAAACAAUUUUGCCAAUUUAAAAUAUAAUGAAAUAAAUAAUUAUGAGUUAGUAUGAUAUAUGAAAAGGAAAAUUAAGGUAUAAUUUUUUUAUUGAGAUAUAUUUAUUCUAAGGCUAUGGAGAUAUAACAUAUUAAAUUUUUUAUUAAGAGUAGUCUAAGAAAAAAUAAAUUUAUGAUCAACCAUAGUUACAAUUUAAUUAAAGGCUUAAGUUUGGGUUAAAUAGAUAACUAAUUGUGUCCAUUUGAUUUAAAAAAGCCUGAAAAUUUUAAAAGCCCAUCUGUAACAGUUUUUUUUUUCCGGGAAACGUAAAAAAAAUUGUUGGGAACUUCCAGAGAAACAAACUGUCGGUGUUCUCUAUUCUCUCUCUAUCUUCUUCGAUCUCUCUAUCUUCCUCAAUAGAAACAAAAACAAAUUCAAAGAUUGUGUACCAGAGAAAUAUAACCAGAGAAACAAAAACAAAUCCGAUCAUGACCCUCAAAGUAAUUCUUAUAAAGAAAGAUGAUCGAGACAGCAGAAGAAUAUAGGUAAUCGUUUGAUAGAAAUCAAUUAUCUUUGUUAUGUUAGAUAUUCUUGUUACCAAUAAUUGAUAACUUUUAAUUAUAAUCUAUGUUGAUUGAUGCGCAAGGUUAUGGGAGGAAUGAUUCUGUUAACUAAUUAUAUGCAAUAUAUUUCGAUGGUAACAUGAAUAUAGUAUUGAUAUAUUUUUGGUUAAAUCAGAAUCGCUUUCCAUUUUUUUUGGUAACUAAUUAUAUGCAAUAUAUUUCAAUUAUGUUUUUAAAUUUUGAAUUUGAUGUUUUUUUUUUUCAUGUUCUACUGCUUCCUUUUUUGGAUGUUAAGGAAAGAAGAACUGAUUUGGAAAAAAAACUACACCAUCUAAUAUUAACGUAAACACAAAAAAAAAUUAUACGAUAUAUUAUUAUAGUUUACGGUACCAGUAACAUGAUGUUAAUGUUAAUUAGUGUUUUGGAGGAAUGUUAGAUGCUAUAUAAUUAUACGAUACGAAAGAAUAAUUGAAUUGAUGAUUUAAUUUGAAGUCAUCCGAUUUAUAACCUAACAUUUCAUCAUGUUCAAGACUUUAAGUCAUUGUUUCAGUUUUUGUAGUGUAUAGUAUAACAUUAAAUAAUCGAUAAAGACAAGCUAAUUUUAAGGAAAUAGUAAUAAUAGUUUCAGUGGCAUUUGAAAGUAAUUAAUAUUGAAAACUCAGGAUUAAUUUAAUUUUGUACUCCUGUUUUAAUAGAUCAGAUAGAUGUUUGUUUUUGUCUUUAAGAAAUGUUAAAAGUUAAAGGUUAUGUAUGGUGGGUUUAUAGUCCAAACCGGAGCCGGUAAGCUCAAAAGCUUGUUCCGGUUAUCUUUCGGUCUUUCAAUUAAAAAGUAUUAAUUUAAUAAAACCGGCGAUGUCAUUAGUCACUAAACCAUUGUAGAAUUUCUACAAGAGGAGCACUAGAUUAGUGGAAUCUUUUUUUUCUUUUCUAUCGCUUCCUCCACCUAACUCUAAUCUCAUCGCUUCCUUCUCCAGCUCUAAUCGGAGAAAAAUGGAGGCAGUAACGGCGAUGAAGCCACUAAUCAAAGUCGCUGCAAUCUCCGGCUCUCUCCGGAAAGGCUCUUUCAACACCGGUCUCCUCCGCGCCGGUAUAUAUAUUCCUUUUCUUUAACACUCUCCUCCUCAAUAUUUGAGGUUUUCGUUUUUGCUAUAACGUUUGUGAAUUUUUAUAAAACAGCGAUGGAGUUGACGAAAGAAUCGGUUCCGGGGAUGCAUAUUGAGCAUAUAGACAUCUCUCCGUUGCCGUUGAUCAACACCGAUCUUGAAUCCAACGGGACUUACCCUCCCGUCGUCGAAGCUUUCCGGCAGAAGAUUCUUGAAGCCGACAGCAUUCUCUUCGCUUCCCCUGAGUACAACUUCUCUGUUUCAGGUAACCCUUUUCAUUCUUUGGUAUAAAGAUUGAUUCUUUAUAUUAAAAUGCUUUAGUUUGAGGUUUUUUCUCUUAGCUUUGUGUACGAAUUGGUUUAUAUAUAAUAAAUACUCCAUGGUAUCGGUUCCCGACAAGACAGUAUGUUUCUUUUACGUUGUUGUGUCGUAGAAAGUAGUUAAUACAUGUGAUGUGAGAUGUCUGAAAAUUGCAGGGUUAUGGUGUAUCAAGUAUUCCUAUUCAUCAAUAAUUUUAGCAAAAAAAAAAAAAAUGUAUUCAUCAAUAAGAUAUUGGUCUUAUGUCUCUUAGCCAUAUGCUAAUAGGCUGAUUGGAACUAUUGAUUUGAGCUUAAUCGUCUGAACUCUUGAGACCAAGCUAAUGCUCAAAUUAUGAAGACUCUCUCGAGUGUUUCUGGCUUGUGAGUUGCGAUCGUGGGAAGUUUCUUAUGUUAGUUCCAAACUAUAUUGAUUUUUUUUCUGUGUUGGAGAGAAGAUCCCACUUCGAGAGAUCGAUGUGGGAUCUUUUCUCCAAGGGAUGCAUCCUUUGAUUCUAUCUGUUAGCUUUGUAAACUUUUACUUAGUGUUGGAGGAAUGCAACAUGACUAUUAACUUUGUUGAAUCUGUUUACCUUGUUACUAAUACCAGCUCCACUUAAGAACGCGAUCGAUUGGGCGUCAAGAUCACCUAACGUUUGGGCUGACAAACCUGCUGCCAUCAUAAGCACCGGUGGAGGUUUUGGUGGAGGAAGGUCGCAGUACCAUCUUCGACAGAUUGGAGUGUUCCUUGAUCUUCAUUUCAUCAACAAACCUGAGUUUACUCUCAAUGCGUUUCAGCCGCCUCAGAAGUUCGAUGCAGAAGGAAACUUGGUCGAUGAAGUGGCUAGGGAGAGGUUAAAACAAGUCCUUGUCUCGUUACAGGCGUUUACUCUGCGACUUCAAGGUAAAUAAGUGGAGGGCCGUUCUUGAUCAUUUGUGUGAGAGAUUGAUGUUCGUGUGAUGAAAAUAAUGUCAGAUUCUUGUGAUAAGAAACAUUGCCACUUAUCCUAUGUAAAUUUAUAUUUCUGAUUAAUGUCGUAUGUGUUUACAUGAUAAAACUGUGUUUAUUAAACGAGUGAUUCUUGUUGUUUCAUUUUUCCUCCUAAAUUAAAAGUGAUAGAUUUAGCAUUGAAAAUAACAUUCCCACUGUUUUAUACUAUAAGUUUUUAAGGUUGUUUUUGUUUUCAAGUAUAAGUUAAUUUUACAUUUUUGUGUAAUUUAUAUAUAUGUUCGAUAUAUUUAGUUGAAUUAUAUUUUCAAGUAUACUAUAACCUUUUUAGCAUAUAUGAUCUUUUAGUACAGAUUUUCCACCUAAUUUCCGAAAUCCCACUUAGAUAGGAAAAAAAAACCCCCACUAAUUUGCACUUAAUUCAUAAAAGAGACAAAGAAGUUAAGUCUUGAAGUGGAAUCAAUGAUUUCAGUUAAAAACGCAUGCAUGAGUUUGGUCUCCACAACAGACUUUUGGAAACUACUCGGAAAGAAAUGGUAAAAUAGAAUUUGGAAGUAGUGCAGGGAGUAGUAAUGUUUGUACAGUAGCUUUUAAAAAUAUUACAGUAACGUUUGUAAAUAGAUUCUCAACCUUACAUAGCUGCAUCCACAAAUUCAGAAAAAAGAUCGUCUAUGAUAACUACACUAAUCUUUAAUAAUGAUGUCGUCCAGUUAGGAAUGUGUACAUAUAGUUUACUGUUUACGCCUAUGGAAUGGGGUAUAUACUCUAUAGUCUGUAUGUAGAUCAUGGGCCUAGACAAUUACUUUAAUCAAGAAAACAUCAUUCGUACGUAGCCCAGUUAUGAAUGUGUACUACUACUUACAUUCUGUAGCUUACUCUACUCUAACACCAUUUCGACUCUAUUUUUCUUCUAUAAUUUACAUAAAAAUAGAGUAACUCUAUUAUAGUAUAAAUUUUGCUCCAAUAUUAUUACUCUAUAAUAAAGUUACUCUAUUAUUGAGUAAAAUAUAAAGGAAUAUCACUUUUUCACUCCAAAUAUAGAGUAAAAUAUAAUAUUCCUCUAUAUUUUACUCUAUGAUAGAGUAAUUCAAUUAUAGAGUAAUACCAUUGGAGCAAAAAUUACAUUAUAAUAGAGUUAUUCUAUUUUUGUGUAAAUUAUAAAAAAAAAUAGAGUUCUAUUGGAGAUGUCCUAAGCGAAAAUGAUUUUUAUCAAAGACAUUAAACCUUUGCAGUUAGUAGAUGGCGGGCAUUGAAAAGACGGUCCAUUACUUUUUUCCUUUGCAAAGAAAAAAUCUAAAGAAAUAAAGUAGUACAUGUGUCAUAAUAUGAUGUAUGAUGUCCAUCUAUAUUCAUUUACAUUCGUGUUCCCUAUCCAUUUAUCCUCCCUCAACAAACAUAAUACAUCUAGAAGUGCACACUUGAUUAAAAGCACGUGGCAACUUGCAAACUUUGACACUUUUUAAUAUCUGCAACUACAUUUACAGCAAAUACUGAACCCAAAUUAUAUUAAAAAAAUUACAACAUCGUAUGAACAUGAUCAACUAUUGCACAAACGCAGGAAAAAAAAAAGAUAUAAUUGAAGACGUACUUAUUAAACAGUCAUCUACUACAUCUUUUAUAAGCUAUAGUUUAUUAGAUACGAAUGUGAACUAGUUAUACUUUAUUAGAAAGUAAAUAAAACAAACAAAAAAAACUAAAGUUUAACCGAAUGGAUCCAAAGAGAAGAGAGGACAUUGUCUGGUGUUAUGGAUCAGAUCAGAUCAGAUCAGAUCAGAUUAGAAAGGAGGAAAAGUUUUGCUGAAACGGCUAACGUUGGAGAAAAGUCCGACAAGAUCUUGCUUGUACGGAAGAUAUGAUCUUUUCUUGUCUUCUUCCUUGAUAGCUUUGUUCCUCAAGUAAAACUUCUCGUGUGCUGAAACCUUCUCCUUCUCCUUCUUCUUCACCACCGUAGUAGUCUUCGGAGAAGGUGAUGAAGUCGUGGAAUCUAGGAACUCGAGUGAUUGUUUCCCGUCGCUGCGACUUCUCUUUAACAGAUCUCUGAUUCUCCACCGUCUCCUCGACCACGACGACGUCGUCGACGACCCCGUCGAUUUGCUCUUUCUGCAUCCUCCGCUCGGAGACAUCUCCGCCGCUGAUCUCUCCGGCGUCCAUGGACAGUAGAUCUCGCUCGGUAUCGUGUCUAGAUCAUCAUCUUCCUCGUCCUCCGACGACGAUGAAUACGUCUGCGGCGGUGGCGGCGGCGGCUGGUCGUUGCGCUCGCGGAGGAACAGAUCUUUUAAAGGCGUCGCAACCGCUUCCGGCGAAACGUCCUCACGUUCCACGGCGGCGGAAGUGUCGGAGAGGAGAGUCUGGUCGAAAACAGGGAAGACUAGUCCACCGUCGCCGGAGGAGGAAGAAGAAGGCGUCUGGAGGAUCGCGAACUCGAAUUCUUCGUUUCCGUUCUCUUUAUAACUUUCGCUGCCGACUCGUGCGGCGAUCUCGGCGAGUCUAUCGCCGGAGUAAGUGCUGAAGCUAGGUGAAAACGACGCCGUGGAGGCAUUAUACUCAUCUACCUUCUCCAUCUUUCUUUUGUAGUGUGAAUCGUCUCUCCUUCUUCUGUGGGGUUUACAGUUGACAAACGAAGAGAGCGUGAGAGAUUUAGGGAGAGGUUUUUGUUUAAUGGCGUUUUCUUUCUUUCUUUCUUUUUGUCAUCUUGUGUAAACAGCCGUAUAUAUAGGAGAAGCGGUUGUGGCACAUGGGAAUGGCAAUUUCUGUAAUUAUUAUGUGUAAAGAUGCUUAAUUUUUAAUUUUGCAUCAAAACUAUAUGAUAUCACAAGCUAUAACGUGGACUUUCUAGAAUCGUAUCCCGCUACUUGAUCCGGAGGUUUUCUGUGUAGAUCUUUUUUUUUUACAUUGAAAUCAAUUGAAUUGACAAUGAUAUUAUGGAUGAUAAACUAUUGUUAAAUAAAUACCAGCCAGCCAAUUGUAAUCAGAAUAAUAAUACAAUUUAGUUAUUUGGACCCAUUUGUAUUUUUUUUCUUUUCAAUUUGUGGAUAUUAUAAGGAUCAAUCAAUCAUCACUUGCGCUCUGAUUAAGUAAUAUACUUAAUAUUGAAUAUCUAUUAAUUUCAUAUGUGAUGCAUUACUAUUUGUGUGUUGAAAAGUUUGAUUGUAGUCCAAGCAGCCCAUUAUAAAGGAAAUGCGACGUAAUUGCUGACAAAGCAAGAAGAACCAUGAAUCAUGGCUGCUGCGCUGCAUCAACAUUCUUUUUCUAUAUUAUUUCUUUUCUUGUAAAUCUUUAGCUUCUCGAAAACGAAGGUUCCAAAUAAUUUAUUUUGUUUGAUUUACUCAGGCACGAAAAUAUAAUUGAAAGCAAUAGAUUCGACUCUGCUAUUAAGAAAUACGAUUCACAUGGGCACGUAUACGUACAUUGUCUAUUAUACUUAUAAAUACUUCUAGAUGUCAUUGUCACUUUUCUUGACUAAUUCUUAUGAGCGAAGCUAACUUGACUUGAAUCGCUAUCAGAAUCAAAUUAAAGAUUUUUUCGCAUUUCAUUUUCUUCCACCAUUAGACCACAUCGUCACACGAUGCGCAUUAAAUGUUAAUCGACAUAUACUAUUAUGUUAUUAUUAGAGUAAUUGUCAAAUAUCAAAUGCUAGUUAACUUAUCAUGCAUUAAGAAUAGGGAAGACAAUGUUGACGGAAGGAAUAAUCUUCUGUAAACUUGUCACACAAUACGAAUCAAACAAUUAAACACACACAAUAAUGAUACAUUAACAAUAGUUCCUUUAUUGGAAAACAUAAGUGUUUCUAUGAAUGAAAAACAUGUGUUUUUUUCAAUCAAAAACAUGAUAAUUUUCCAAGCUAGAAUAAUAUAAAAUAAAAAUCAAUUUAUGUGAAUUCUUUUCAAUUGCAGAUGUAUAACUACAAGUCUAAAACAUACAAAUUUCAUCUAAAUAAAAAUUUAAAUUCCAAGAUCAGCCAUAAAACUUGUUAAAGACAGCUAGGUAUAAACUAAACACACUAUAUUUACAAUAUUGUCAUUCACUCUUUUGCGUAAAAUACGAAUCAAUUCCAAGAAUCUCUUCUCGACAAGUUUGCCUUAAGGUGAUGCAAAGUAAACUCAACUUGCACAGGAAGCUCACCAGAAACUGCACUUGCCGUCCUGGUCCCACUCUCAAACCGUUCUGUUCUCCUCUGCUCAACAAUAAUAUCAUGGUACAUGGGUCUGAACUUGAUCUGAAACGCCCUGUAAGUGAAAUACGGCAAGAGAGCAGAGAACGUGACAAGGACAAGAGUUAACCAACAGAUGGGACUCGGUGCUGAAGUCUCAACGAAGACCUGAUAAGCUGUGGUUGAGAAUGUCGGAGGAAGAGAACCGUAGAUGACAAGAAACAGAUACCAAACCCCUAUGCUUCCCCAAAUGAAGCAGUGCUGGAUCCAAGUGAAGUAGUUUAUAGAAAUCGCCAUUUGGCAGUUCACGGUCCAGACCACGCAAGAGUACAUUGUGACUCCAAGAACUGAGUAAUCAACUACUUGACCGUCUUUCCGGAAAGCUUGAGAGGCGAUUGUGUUGAUUGUGAGGAAGAAGAUGAUCAUCGAGCUUAUGAUUCCGUUUAACAUCCAACCAAGGAUACGUUCCCAGCUGAAUAAUAUGUUCUGUACUCCUUCUUGGUAUAGUAACGGAUACUGCAGAAAUCAAAACAAGAAAUUAGGCAUGGGCGUUUUAACCAACUCAAACUAAAAACAGAUCCGAACCGUUAUAAAAGAUUUCAAAAUUAGUUAAAUCUAAGGUGAAUAGAUAGUUUAGAAUAUUUUAGAAACUUUCGUAGUUUAUUUCUGUAAUUUUGACUAGUUUUGAAUUUUUUUUUUGAAUAAUUUAUAUAUUUUGAUUUUGUUUGUCAAUUUCAUUAGUUUUUCAUCAGUUAAAGAAAAAUAGAUUUUAGGUUGUUUUCAGAUAUUGAUAAUAACCGAACCGGAAAAAACCGGAGCUUAACACAACCCAAAAAUUAGUAAAAUCAAGAACCCCAAAGUGAUUUUUUUUUAAAAAGAGAGAAAUGUUUACCUUGAGACAAAGGCGAGCAGAGACAUCUUGAUCAAAGACUCCAAGAGCGAUGACAGGAAGUGAAGUGAAGAAGACGUUGUAGCAAGACAUGUACCAAUCGUUAUAAGCUGGUUUACCAGAGAAAGAAGCAUAAGCUUCGUACCAAAACAGCGUGAAUCCGAACGUGAGGUUCUUGUAGAAGAAGUAACAUAUCUGAAUUUCACAAAAAAAUACAAUCAGAAAUAAAAGAACAAAGAUUCAAAAGUAAGUUCAGUUUAUUAAAGAGUGUUACCAUCAUUGCUAUUCGUCUAUAACACCAAUGGCCAUGAACAAGCAACAAACGUUCCAGAAACCGAAACUGAGCAAUGGCAAAAUCACUAGCCAUCACCGCCUGUAAACAGAAGACUUUAAAACCUCUAAAUGAACAUUUUACAGUAGACACAAGAAGAGCUAAAAGCAAAUAUGUUUACCUGCAUUCCUUCUGCACCACUUAUACCAACUCCAAUAUCAGCUUCUUGAAGCAUUCCAACAUCAUUUGCGCCAUCUCCAAUGGCUAGUGUUGUUCUACCUGUCCCGGUUUUAACCAAUCUUGUAACCUAACAUAUAUAUAUACUCUACCCCUCAGAUUUACUUUAAUGUGAAAACAUAAUACAAAGUGUGUGACAUGAGUCUUACCAGAGCCUUUUGCUUUGGUGAAGACCGGCAACAUAUAACAGAACCACACCGACUCGCAAGUUCCAAGAACUCUUUCUCCAGCUUCUUGUCCAAUGCAAAAGUUAAGGACUUCCCAUCAAUCACUAAACCAAACAUCUCCGGCUUUUCAUUAGCUGAAUCGUCUGUUGUUGCUGCUGCUGCUGUUUGAGACAUUCCUUCUCUUAACUGUUUCUUAAUACUCUGAAAAGAAGCCUAUUCACAAACAUCAAAACAACUCUCAUCAUUGUCCUAUAAACAUGGAAAGUCAUAAAGCUUUUAUCAGUUAUGUGCAUACCUUUGCAACAGCAUCUUUGUCUCCUUGUUUCUCCAGAGUCUCAAUGUCAGGUGAAUCUAGAGUUAUCAAUAUCUUUUCCAUGCCUUCUCUUAACAGACUACAAGCAUAUCUGUCAACAACAUCACAACUAUUACAUUUGAACUUAUUACAGAACCCAAAAAAAAAGACAGAAUCAAGAGAAGAAGUCUGGACUUACCCUAUAUUUAUUGCAGUUUCUGUCUUAUCACCGGUUAAAACCCAUAUCUUAACCCCAGCCUGAGAUAACUUUUCAAUACAAUCUGGAACCUUUUAAAAAGCAACAACAGAAGUAAGUCCAAGACAGGAACUGAAAAAGGUAGCCUAUAGUCUGUUUUGGUUAUACUUACACCCUUUUGGAGUUUGUCUUCAACUGCAGUAGAACCAAGAAGAAUCAAAUCCUUCUCAAUCUUAUCAGCAGCUGCAUCUAUCAAAGCAUCUCUAUCUUCAGUCACCAAAGUCUUUGCAUUCAGAAACUCCUCUUCCCAUAUUCUGUACUCCUCUUCAUCUACUUCUCUGUAUGUAAUCACCAGCGUCCUUAACCCUGCCUCUGCAUACCUCUUGAUGUGCUCCUUCGUCUCCCUCUCAAACUGGCGUCCGUGUUUAGCAAGUCUCUCAAACAUCACACUGAAAAAAAACAUGACAUAAGAAGAUGUCUUAUAUUAACCAGAAAGGGAACAAACCACAAACCUGUCUGCUCCUUUGGAAAGCAACAACAACCGGUUCUCUGGAUUCCUCACAAUAACAGACAUUCUUUUGCGAGAGCUGCUGAACUCCAAGACAUGAAGCAGCUCAUACACUCUGUCUACUUUCUCACCACUCACGUGAUCAAUCUCAUGCAAGGAGAUAUGAGUCUGAGACCUUGCAAAGAACUCAAACCCAAGCUCUCUAGAAGCUAUCACAAACGCCGCUUCAUCAGGAGACUCAGCUUCAUAGCUAAUCUCACCACUCUCACCGUCCACAUCAGGGAUAGCAGUAUGACAAAUAGCCAACACUCGAAAAAACUUCUGAAUGAGCUCUGCGUUCGGUUGGUUAAUCCACUGACCAUCGACUAUCCUCUCGUCCCAGAAGUUAAAUCCUUUAACAGACUUCGUUGGAUUCGCUUUUAUCUCAUCAUCUUGAGGUCUCAUACUCAUACCCUUUUGCUUCCUCAAGGCUAAUUCUACUUCAGUCAUACCACGGCCGUAAGCAGUUCCGGAUAUAGAACACUUCACAAACUCCAUUGAGUUGCAAGUUAAGGUACCUGUUUUGUCUGAGAGGAUUGUGUCGACUUGACCGAGCUCUUCGUUGAGGUUAGACGUUCUUGCACGAGCUGGCCUGUCUGUUUCCUCGUGGUACAUUUCUUGAUCUUGGUUUAUGAAUAUGCUUUGCAACACCUUCACAACUUCAAUCGAAACGUAUAACGAUAUUGGUAUUAAGUAACCGUAUAGCAUUAACGCAGUCAAGAAAUGAAAGAAGGAAGCAAGAACAGCUCUCCGCGGUUCGUAGAAGACAGUGGUUCUGUCCGGUCUAAGAUACCAUCUCCUCAUCUUCUUCCCAUCAUCAGUUACAUCUCUUCUCGUUAUAAUCCCAAAGAAGACUGAACCAGUGAAAGCAAUCACAAUCAAGAUACUGAAGAGAAUGUAGACAAUCUUAUCCAUUUUCCUCUCGAUCUUGCUCCUCUUUGAAGGAGGAUCAGUAGCGUUCUGCAUCACUUUAGUGUCGUGCCCCGUGAAGACAACGACUCCAACGAUGAAAUCAGUGUUUCUAAGCUUUGAGUCUCUCAAAAGCAUCUGCUGAGGAGAGAGAGGGUACUGUUGUCCUUGGUAGUGAAGCGUUCCCACGAAAGAGUAGAGAUGCUCGUUGGGGUCUUCGCAUUUGAUCACUCCUCCUCUGAAGUUCUUGAUAGAAGACUCUUCAACUGAUGUUAUCUCCAGGGCGUGUUUUAGCUUCAAGUUGGUCUCUCCGUCGAGGUUCAUUGUUUCUACAUAGCAAACUCCGUCUUCGUAGCUUGAUGAGAGAAGGAGAAGAUCAGCUGGGAAGUACUCGUCUUUGUGAACCUUCACAAGAUCACCAACUCUGAGAUUCUUCCACUUUGUUUCACUAAAUUCGCCGUUCUUGGAAAGGACUAAAACUCUCCUGUUGUUAGCUUCAAUGUCCUAAUAGACAAAAGAAACAAUAUCGUAAAAGUUCUUCCAACUUAAAACCAAUUGGCUAUAAGAAAUAAUAAUAAACGUACUUGUCUUCGUCUCCUCAAAUCUUCAACACCUUCUUUAACCAUAGUAGCACCAAUGACAAACAAGAGCGGUGCAAGGACGCUAGGAGCGGUGUAAGGAGCCAAGGGGCUGAAGGAAACGAAAGCAACAACUAGGAAGUAUAUAUUUGCUACUCUUCUAAACUGUUCGAACAAAGACUUUGGGAUGAAGUUAGCAGCUGUGUACUUGGUGGUGGAAACGUAGUUCCCUCUGUAGUUAAGCUGGAGAGCCUCGGGGUUAUCGGGAUCGUUACAGAAGACAACUCUCGAGUAGCCUCUUGAACCAAUCUGAGAAUGGUCUUCUUUGGAGAAAGGCUUGAGACACUUGAAUGAGUAGAGUUUGCUUAAACGCAUCCCUUUGUGUCUUCUCUCUCCAGCCAUCUUACCAAAACUAAAGAAAGUUCAGAUCUUUUCUUUAAAAAGACAGAACAACCAUUUUUUGUUGUGGAAUCGAACAGCAGAUCAUGAAUCCAUGGACUAAUGUAUUAGCUGAGGAGAAGAAACUGAGAAUCAGAUAAGGAAAAUCUAGAAGGUACAGAGAACAGUAGCUAUCAAUUUCAAUAGAAAACAAAAAAAAACAUAUGUAAUAAUUAAAAAACAUGUCUGAAAGAUCCCUUACUUGGUUCCAAAUGUUGCCAAGAUUUAACUCCUUGCAGAGAAACAGAGAGACAAUAAUAAAAAAGAUAAAAUAAAGGAAAGAAAGAUACUAAAGAGAAAGAAGUGUGAGCUUGCUUGCUUGCUCUGAACACAGUUCUCGAACUUUGCCUCUUUGCUAAGAAAACGACACGAGAGAACGACGAGAGCAUUUUCCCCCAAAUUAAAUUUUAUUUUCACUUUUCUUCUAACAUUUUUCUAUGUCUUUAUCUUAUCUUUAUUUUAAAAUUUUUAUUAGGUUUUCUGUGUUUAUUUCCCCGUACGAAUCCGUGAAGACUUGAUGACAUUUGUCAGUCUUCGAACGAGUCCAGCGUGACUUUUCGACACGUGACAAUAUCUUAAGGUAUUCCUGACUGAUCGUUUGGAAAAAAAAAAUGUAACGGUGGUGUUAGGUGUUGACUGUAGAUUAGCAAUUGCACCGUUUUUUAAUUUAUAGCUAUUUCCACUUUAGGAAAUUUUGCUGAUUCAUUACACACAAUCAGUACUCGUCAUUAAUUCGGUAUGGUCCAUGAGAUUAUCCUUUUUAAAAAUAAAAGGAAAAACUUCAAAAGCAAAAAUAUUAUCAAGAUAAAAUCCAGUAGCUCACGCUAAGUUGCUGUUCGAGUUAUAAAGUGAAGAAAAGUUACAAUUGUUAUGGAAUUUUGUAUUGAAUUUUUAUAAAGUAACACGGUUUCAACACCUACCAGUCUCGUCUAAUAAUAAUACAUUUAUUUGUUACUUUACAGAUUUGAACAAAUGAAACAAACAUUAGAAGUAACUUUGGAUAUACUUUGUCAAAAAAACUAACUUCAGAUAUACUACCACAAAAUACUUUGGAGAGUCUAAGGCUUCGAAUGGAGAAAGCGGAUCAAGCAUUGCGGAUCUAGCGUAUUAAGCGGAUCGAGCGGAACAAGAGCGGAUCAAGCGGAUCGAGUGGUACAAGUGUGGAUCUAGCGGAUCUAGCGGUUCAAAACAUAUGCUUGAAUGGUGAAAGUGUAUAAAAAGUGGUCCAAAGUAUUAUACUAAUUUAAAUUAAUAUAUAAAAAAUUGUAAUACUAUUUAUUUUCAUAAUUACAAAGAUUUAUUUUUAAAAUACUUUAUGAAUGAAAAAUAUAAAAUUUUCUUCAAUUAUAAUCAAAAAUUAUUUUAAAUAUAUAUUUUUUAUUUGAGUUUUCAAAUUUAGUAUAUAUUUGAUUUGGCUGUUUUUAAAAUAAUUAUAUAAAUACAAUAACUAUAAAUUUUUAUUCAAAAUAUAAUAUUAAAUUAAUUUAACCAUAUAUAUAAUUGUUUUGAGCUUUAAAAUUAUAUCUAUAUACCAUUAUAGUUUUUAAUUACUAAGUAUUAAUAAGUAAUUAUGAAAUGUUUAUGCAUACCUAGUAUAGUAUAAUUUAACAAACACAUAAGUAAUUUUUUUUUGGUCGUCAAAAAGUCAUUAUAUUACUCAAGUUUAAGGUGGUUUGGGUAACCAGACCGAAACACAUAAGUAAUUUAAAUAUUAUACAAAACAUAUUUGUAUAUACGUAAGUAAGAAACAAUAUAAACUCACAAGAAAAUAAGUUGGUCAAAUACGCUUCAAAACCAGUUUAUUUACAAGCAUAUAUACUAUUAUUCAAAAGGAAAAGCAAAACUAAAAUAAACAGUACAUAAAAGUGGAUCGAGCGGAACAAUCUAACGACAUAAGUGUGGAUCCAGCGGUUCAAACAUGUCUUUUUUUGUUUUUUUUUUUUUAAUUAAAUUAAAAAUAAUUGUAUAUAUUAUCAUAUAUUGUUUAAAAUAAUUAUGUUUUUGAUAAAAUAGUAUAACUAUUUCUAGUACAAAACAUAAUAACAUAAAAAUAAGUCAUUCAAAUGAUAUAUAAUAUAUACAUAAAAAUGGAAUUAUAGGAAUAUAAUAAAAAAAUUGAUGUAUGACAUUAUCAAAACUCACAAUGGUCAUAAAUAAAUCUAUUAUUUUCUAUAAAAAAACACAGAAGUUUUGUACACAAAAAAACACUCGAAAUUUGUUGUAUUUUACUGUUGAUAGUGGUUCUACAAUUUUUCUUCAUGUAUUAGAACUGCUAGCGGUUCAUGAUUAUUUUAUUAUUUUNNNNNNNNNNNNNNNNNNNGCGGUUCAGGAUUAUUUUAUUAUUUUAUAAAGACAGUCGAGCAUUAACUUAAAAACAUUGGUGAAUGGAAGUACAAAAGCGGUUCCUCCACUUGACGUGUAUCGCCCGCUUAAUAUUCACCUUCCAUUCAAACUCUAAUUCACAUGGACUUUUGAAUCUGUAAGAAGAAGUUUUCUCAAGCCCAUUAAAUCCACUGUCUUUCGAAUACUUAUGUGGCUGUGUCACAGGAGUCACAGGAGGCUUGUCAAAUACGUUACUACCACUAUUCUAAAAAUCCAUGGGUAACUUGUCACUCAAAUGAUUAGGCGAUGCUUUUUACUGUUUUACUUUUACAUUUUCGGGUAACUUGAGAUCAGGCGAUGCUUUUUACUGUUUUACUUUUACAUUUUUCGCGUGCAAAAUACUUUGAUCGUACAAAGCUUAGCUGACUUUUUAUCGAGACAAAAAAAAAGCUGCCUUUUUUUUGGGUGGUAAUCAUGUUAAAUGUUUCUUAACCGAAUUAGUAAAAUAAAAUCAGGAUUUGUUAACUAUUAUUCGUUUUACUUGUAUCUACGUGCUGUUACAAAAGUUUGAACAUUCAUUUUUCAACACAAAUUUAACAUUAUUCAGAUAAUUGAAGAUUUAUAUUCCAAUACCGAAAUUUCAAACUGUGUUUAACAAACUAGAUUAAGUUUAAAUGACAUACUUAAUUGUUUGUUUAGGAUAAAUGUCCACGCGACAACAUGUUUCUCGAAUCUCGACUAAACUGUUAUAGUGUUAUGUUUCAUGUUCCAUGAUGAAUCCAAUUGGAGGCUCAGAGUAUUGCAUAAUGUGCUCAAGGAAGAGUUUAUCAGACUCUUCUCAUACAAGAGGUGUCAGAAAUAAUUAAGCAAUCAUCAUCCUCGCCCAAGACAAAAACGUUUCAACUAAUACUUGAGUUUGAAUAUAACACAAAACUAGUACAAAAUGGUACGUUGAUUGAAUAAAAAAUUUAAAAUCCUGCCUACUCAAUCAAAGGUAUCAAACAGAAAUUGAUUGGAAGAAAAAAAUCUUGAAACAAAAACAUCAAAGACAUACUUAUCAAAUGUGAAAGAAAUUGAUUACAAGAAGAAAAAGGGGGUGAAGAUGCUCAUAUUCUAUGGGUGUAAUGUGAGUCUACAAAGCCUAGUGGCUAUUCAGUACGAGGAAUUACUUUUACAAUCAUCGCAUCAUCUUACCCCUCAAUUUUCCAGAUCCAGUUUUUUUUUUUAAAUACUAAACCAAACUAGAUGUGAAGAUUAUUCACAAAACAAUUCUCGAAAAAAAAAUUAAAACGAUAUAUACCAAAAAAUUAACAGUCAAGAAAAAAAAGCUGGAGGCUCAGAGUAUUUGCAUAAUGUGCUCAAGGAAGAGUUUAUCAAGCUCUUCUCAUACAAGAGGUGUCAGAAAUUAAGCAGUAAUCAUCCUUGCCAUCACCAUUACUUUCAAAAAUCAACAAUCAAAGAAAACCAAAAUAAAAAACUCACGAACAAGAGAAGAAAAAAACAAACAAGCGGCGGAGAAAAACCGCAUACGUAUUAGGGUUUUGGUUUCAGUUGAUGAUGUGAAGAUGUUAAAUCAUGGUACAUUAUUUAUAGAUACCAGUGGGCUUAUAUUCAAUAUUAGCAGUACUCCCUCAGCCGCCUCCUUUACCGGGUUAGUGAUGGAUGCUACUAUUAGGUAGGUCAAACUUUUAUAUUCAAAUUAUCACAAGAUUCAGACUGAAGGCCCAUUGGGCCAAAGUAAUCCAUACAAGAAAAGGAAAAAGUGUCUAUUCCAACCUAAACUUUACUUAUCCUUAUCGUGCUUAUUCUUAUCCAACAGCAAUGCGUAUUCUAUACCGAACUACAUAAAAACUCAAAAAUACUACAUGAACUUCAAGCGUUGUACCUUUUCCUUCACGAACUUUAUAUUUCAUACUGAACUAAACAAAAAUACUACAUUAACUCUCAAAAUCAUACUUAGUUCGGUAUGGAAUCAGAGGAAAUAAGCAAGACGGGUAAAGUUCAGGUUGAAAUAGGCACUUUUGACUACAACAAAAGGUUUGAAUGCUCAUCUGCAUAAAUUAAGUUCAAUGCUCCUCCUAAAAGCUAGUGUCUUUAACUAAUACACAAACAUAACAUCCUACAAGUUAAGAUGAACAAACAGUCAUCUUCCUUACCUUGUCUAGCAAGUUUCUUGAUUCCUCUUCAAGUUUCAUCUUCAACUCUUCCCUAACCUCUCCUCCCUCUGAUUCGUCCAACAAUGCUCUCAUCUUUUCAAGCUUUUUUUUCAACCACUCCAAAUCCGUCACUCCCUUCUUUUCAUUUGUGUUUUCAGGUGUUUCUCUCUUGUUCACCUUCACUUCAAGCUGCUUAUCUUCAUCAGAACCGUUUCUUUUGUAAUUGGCUCCAGUAACAUAUGUAAAGCUGCGGUAAAUGGACGCAAACUCUCUUAUCAUGUCAUACGAGCUUUUACACUCUUGUGAAUGUUGUGUGCUGAGGGAAGCUGCACGGAUAAGCUCCAGUAUCUCCUCUGUUGUAGCUCCCAAGCUAACAAAAUUAAUGGCCUUUUCAGCAGGCCUCUUUGUCAUCUUCUCUGCUGAUUCAGAUUCUAGUUUGCUCUUUCUCCUGCUCCAACUAAAGUCUGUCAUGUAUUCAGGUGAAAGAUACUUGCUUUUCUUCCUCUCUCUCUUACCUCUGUGCACUAUAGUCUCGCCACUCCCAUUGUUCCUUUCAACACUUGAAGAAACAUCAUCAACCUUUACCCUUUUGCAGAGUGAAGCCAGUGGAGUUGAUAAAUCGACUACUAUAUCAAUACCUGACUCCUCUUUCUUCUCACUCUCUUCUAAAUGAUUUGAGCAUUUAGAAACUUCAUCACCAUGUUUCCUCUUUUUAUUACUAGGAUGCUUAGAGCAUUUUCUUAAAGAUUCCUGACCAGAAGAUUUCUUGAAUGUAUACUCAUCCUCUUUGUCUUCAAGUCCUAUGAUAUAUGGAUUCUCAUCAUCGUAUUUAGCUAAACCAAACCGUCCUUUAGACCGAUAAAACGCAGAUAUUUUCCUCCUCAAAACCUCAAUCUCCAACACAUCACUAAAACUAGCUUCCUUGGCAAGGCUUUUAACAUCUUCAAGAACUAUCCCAGGUUUUUCAAGAACCAAUGACGUUAGAGUCUCUCUUUUAACAUCAGGUACAAGAACUCCUUCCUUAACUCCACAAUUCACAACUACUACAGGACUAACCAGAGACUCGUCACAAACCAACAGGUUCUCAACCUGUUGACCAAUCUCUCUCACAGCUUCUCUCACAGCACUGAGAAAGGUAGUAGACUCGCUCGUCUUCGAAAACUCCCUGAAGUUCUCUAUAAACGGUUUGAGCUGCGAUGGAGUGCACCAAGCAAACGUCUCUUUCCAAGAAAGUGCAACAAGUAAUGUACCUUUCUGCAUAUGCUUCAAAGCUAAGUCAGAAGCGUCUGAAGAAUCAUAAACCUUCCCAGGCCACCAUUGGUGACGGUUGACUCCUUGUACCCACACAAAGUCUCCUACAUGGAACCCAUCUAUGGAAUGAUCUUGGUUUGUAUUCGGCAACGAAGAGGCUUCACUCAUCACAUAAUCUUCAACUGGUCCAGAGUCGUUAACACUCUCCAUGUUAACAUCGUUUGACUUCGGUUCAUCCUCAGACGAACCGUUCAUGUCAGUUUCUUCUCUGUUUUCAGAUACCCUAGAACCGGUCGUUAGAAAAUUUCCCAUCGAACUUGAAGAUUCUUCUCGUUUGUAACACACAACACAACCUAAACUACUACACCAAAGGCAAAACAAAACAUUUAGAAAAAAAGAACGACAAUGAUCAGAAGAAACCAACAAACAAAAGGUUGCUCCUUUCACGAGAAAGAAAGUAAGCAAGUUACCUGAAGAAGGUAGAAGAGAAGAGAAAGAAAAAAACUUGCAAAUCUCUGGAGAGAACAGCUUCUUCUUCGUUUCCUGCGGCGGAAAGUUUUUGUUUUUUUUUCCUCGACUUAAGAAGGAAACAAAAAAGGGUUGGUGUUCAGAAAUAAAAAAAAGGAAAAAAAAGAGUAUAUUUUGUGAUUGGUGCUUUUGAUUUGUUAAACUAUUUAUUAGAAACUUCGUUUCGUGUUAUCACGUCGUACGUUAUUUAUUUAUUUUUCUCGACAUCGUGUCAUUACGUACGUUCUUAAAAAAAAUAUAUAUAUAUAUAUAUCUUUAAGACUCGUUUUCUGACGUCAAGCUAUGUGUCAACCUCUCUUUCUUUUUUCCCCGACCGGCUUUGCGAUUAGAUUCAGACAAAAGUAUAUGAGAUUUGUACAAACGCAACCGUUGUGUAUUUUAUGUAUAUCAACCGCUCUUUCUUUUCCCGAUUCGAUUUAUAUGUAUAUCAACCGAUCUUUCUUUUCCCGAUUCGAUUUAUUUUUUUUGCGGUUAGAUUUAGACAAGAGUAUGAGUUUACAAAACUAGCAAGUAUAAGAUUUGUUGUAGAAGUGUAUCAGAUUCACACAAACGCAACCAUUACGUUAGGUAAGAAAUACUGUUUUGUUUCUUUUAAGCCAAGGCCUAGGCAUUUCAACGAACACGUUAUGUGCAUAUAACGAGCAAGGCACAAUCAGUAAUAGGGAAAGCAAAUUGAUUAAAGUUUUCAACAUUUUCUCCAAUCGGAAUCAACAAUUCGAAACGCAAACUAUACUGACAACACGCGAAAAAGAUCCAUGAAAUUCCGAAAAAGAACACAUUUUUUUAUAAACUUGCUAAAAACACUUUAAGCAAUGGAAACCUUAGCGCCAGCUUCUUCAAGCUGUUUCUUGGCUUCUUCAGCUUCAUCCUUAGUCACACCUUCCUUGAACUUCUUCGGCAACCCUUCGAUAAGCUCUUUGGCUUCCUUCAACGCCAAGCUAGUCAACGCCCUAACCGCUUUGAUCACUGCGAUACGCGAGCUGCUUGGUACUUCGUUGAUCACCACAUCGAACUCCGUCUGCUCCUCUACAGCAGCAGCCGCACCAGCUCCGUCCCCCGGAGCAGCUACAGCCGCUGCGGCGGGAGCUAAGGAGAGGGGAGAGACGCCGAACUUGUCCUGGAGGUAGUCUACGAGGAUGCGUGCUUCUUCGAGCGUGAGGGACGAGAUUUCGGAUCCGAUUUUCUCGAUUUUUUCAGGAGCUUCGACGGCGGCGAUGGGACGGAGGUGGGUUGCACGGUGGCUGAUGGUGGGAGAAGAAGCACCGAAGCGGAAGGGAAAUUCGAUGGAGGUGGAUCGAGAAGGGAAGUGAUGAGCGGAAGCGAGAGUGGGAGAAGAAGAAGAGGAGCGGAUUGAGCUCGUGAUGGAGAGGGUCGUCGCUGCCAUUGUCACUCUCUUCCUUUCUUCUGGAACUUGUUCUGUGUCCGUAUGAGAUGAAGAAAGGUAGUGAGGAUAGCAAAACAAAGGAUAAGGGGUAGUUUGGGCAGUAAAAUAGAUGCGCACGUCUGCUAUCAUGCGCCAACGAACAUAUAUGGAAGUAAAGAAUGGGGCGUUCCGAAAAUCGAACUCGGGACCUCUCGCACCCAAAGCGAGAAUCAUACCACUAGACCAAACGCCCUUGAUGAUUGCUUUCUUUUUUAACAACAUAAUAUUCACAGUGUUUGUAGUGAAACGUACCUUAAUUUCAAAAGAAGCAUAAGGCAAUCACUUGGUAACCUCUUAUACAAUGUUGUUUGUGUGUUUGGUUUCGCAUCGGUCUUCUAGAGCUUUGUAAGUGAGAUUUCUUCAAACUUUGGAGUUAUGCAUUGCUAAUUUUAGCUACUUGAGCAUAUUAUACGUUCCAGCUUUUUAAAACAAUCUUAAUGCUUCUCCAGGCAUUAAAGAUUAUCAUUGGGUAAACUUAUCUUGAUUGACUGAUUCGAUUUGCGUUCUUUACGUUGUAUGUGCUAGCGGUAGUGGCAACAAGGUACAUAGACUUUCCUUUGUGAUGGUUUUUGCUCGUUCAUAAGUUUAUUUCGUUGUUUUAGUUUUGAUUGAGAAGUCACUACUACUAUAUCCACUGAUGGAAACAAAAGGCGCUUAUGCGCGUGUCGUACUGUCGUGGCACUAUCGCUAGAAUCAAUCCUGUUUUAUCUUAUGACCACAUUCUCUUCUUGUACAUAUAUUUUAUCACUAAGUGAUGAUAUACCGUUGUUGAAUUUAUUUUUUAAUGGUGUUUACAUAUUACAGUACAACUACAAUGUGAUAGGGACCUGUUUUUUCUAUAUACAUAUGUCACCCAGUUUCGCGUGUGAGUGAGUAACUCAUUUCAACAAAUAUGUUAUAUGUAGACUGCAGGUAACGACACAGGCGCCAAUGGAUGAAUCAGUUAUAAGAAACGCAAAUUUGAUUCACAUUAAUAUAUUUUCUCAGAGCUGAAUCAAUAAUCUCAGACACAAACUACAUUCUAAAACAACACAACAAGGAACAAAUCAUACACAACUUCAAGAAAGGAAAAAAAAAAAACACUUUAAGCAAUGGAAACCUUAGCGCCAGCUUCUUCAAGCUGCUUCUUAGCUUCUUCAGCUUCAUCCUUGGUCACACCUUCCUUAAACUUCUUCGGCAACCCUUCGAUAAGCUCCUUCGCUUCCUUCAACGCCAAGCUAGUCAACGCCCUAACCGCUUUGAUCACCGCGAUACGCGCAUUGCUCGGGACUUCGUUGAUCACCACAUCGAACUCCGUCUGCUCUUCCACCGCAGCCGCCGCACCAUCACCGCCUCCCGGAGCAGCCACAGCCGCUGCAGCGGGAGCUAAGGAGAGGGGAGAGACGCCGAACUUGUCCUGGAGGUAGUCCACGAGGAUGCGGGCUUCCUCGAGAGUGAGGGACGAGAUUUCGGAUCCGAUCUUCUCGAUUUUCUCCGGGGCCUCGACGGCGGCGAUGGGACGGAGGUUGGUUGCGCGGUGUGUUAGAGUGGAGGAAGGUGAACCGAGGCGAAAGGGAAAUGCGGUUGCGUUUGGUCGGGAUGGGAAGCAGGUAUGGGGAGUGAGGUGAGAGGAGGAGGAGAGGAUUGUGGUUGCGAUGGAAAGAGUCGUCGCUGCCAUUUUUUUCUCACUCUUUAGGCUUCUUCGGAUUUGUGUUGUGACUCCUCUCUGUAUGUGUUCAUUAACACGAAAGAUGAAGAAUAAGAUAGGAUAGAUAAACGAAAGGAUAAGGGGUAAUUUGGACAAUUAAAAGUGCGUGCUGCUGCUAUCAUGCGCCUAUACACGUAGAUGAAGUUGUAUCACUAGUUUUAUGACGAAAAUACCCUUAUCAGGGGUACAUGCCUGGUGCAGAUUGGAUUUUUUCUUGUUUAGUUUACUGGCUAGACCUAGCUAGACCCGUUCUAGUUUUUAUAGUUUGUGUUCAUUUCGUAAAUCUGUCUAAAAUCUAUUUUGGACCCGAACUCAUUUCAGAUUCGAUGAACAAUAUUUGGAUUCAAAACUUUUACAUAUAAAAGCAAAAAUGAAAUUAAGUAUUUGAGUGAUGUAUUUAAAUUCAAAUACUGAUUUAAAUAUUCAGUUAUUUUGAUUUUUUUCAGAUUUUUUAUUAUACCUUUGAGGCUAGAUCAUGUCUAGGUAAUAUUCAUAACUUAAAAUACUACUCCUUUAGUUUAUUCACUUCCAUUUGUGAAUAAGUGUCAAUAUGAUAAUUUUCAUACAGAUUAAGAAAGUUGAUGUAAUUGUUAUUAAUUACACAUAUUUGACCAAUAGUAUUUGAGAUAAAUAAAAUUAUUUAUAAAAUUAAUACAGUUUACAAUUAAUUUUCAGCUGAAAGUAAGUAUAAUUUGCAUUAAAUUAUAAAGUGAUAUUUUUUGUGUAACAAUAAAAAAAUAUUAGAAUGACAUUUAUUAAGGAGUAUUAUUUUACAUAAUAUAUUCAUGUAUUUUAAUAGAUCGGUUCAAAUAUGAAUUCAAGUUUUUCGGUUCUGAAUGAUGCAAAUACUUUGACCUCAAGGUUCGCUGUGGAGCAUUUUCUUUAUGCCAACAAGUUGGAAGUGGAAACAUUCUUUUAAUUCGAAAGAAGCAUAUAAUAAUCGUAUACCAAUGUAAUCACAUUGAGUAGUUUCGAUUUCUCUCCCUUUCUCCUAUUAUAUAUUCCCACCAAUGCUACAAACAACAGCAAAUCCCAUUUCCAAUGAAUCCAAAUCCUCUGCAAAGAGGCUUUGAAAGCGGUUUUCACCACCUACGGCGUCUCCUCCCAUACCAAAACGCAAACGCAGCCACAGAUGCAGCAACAAGGACUCCAGUCGCCGCGUGCCAUACAUGCAAAGGCUUCUCCAUCAUCACCACUCUUGAAGCCUGCCUCACCAGCGCAGAGCUCGGAACCUCCUUGACUUCUGGAACUAUAUGCUGACUCACCACUGUCUCAGCAAACCCGAGUCCUACUCUUCCCAGUUCUUCCAGAUCAGUCACUGCCGGUUUCAACUGUGUGGCCUUUGAGAUGGUAUCGUAUUCUUCUUUAGUCCCUCCUUCGAGAAACGACCCAACAAGGUGACCCUUUUUAAUCCAAUACGCUCCAAAGGUUUUACCCUCUUCAAACUCCCCAAAGUGCACAACUUCACCUACAGGGUCUCCGUAGAACUGCCACGAGAAGGCAAAGACCCUUGAGUAGAAAAACGGCAGGUAGUCAAACUCUCCAGUCUUUUCUGGCUCCAUGAUAGCUGAAACUGCGUGCCGUGCGGAUUUCCUAGCUGAGUCCACAUGCUCAAGCCUUCUCAUUUCUCCAAAUAGUUUCACUGGGAACGUAGCUACGUCGCCUAUUGCGUACACCGAGCUGUCACUUGACUGCAUUUUGCUGUUCACUUUUAUUCCUCCUUUCUCUAUUGUUAGCUGUCCUUCAAACAAGCUUGUGUUUGGUCGUAUUCCGAUUCCAACCACCACCAAAUCUGCUGGUAAAUGGUUCCCGUUUUUGAGAUUAACCGCUGUCACCUGCAAACCAAACAAUGCUCAAGACUAUUUUCAUACUUCGAUAAGAAGGCUUCUCUGUUAUAUUGUUUAUAUAACCUUUUUAUUUGAGUCAAAUUCAAAUGAUGUCAAGACCGUUCCUUUGAUGAACUCCACUCCUUUAGCACUGUAGUAAUCUUCAUACAAACUUGCUAUCUUGGGGGUAAAGAGACGCGCCACUGUCAUAUGAAACUAAAACAGGUCAAGCCAACCACACAGACCCAAGCUUUCUCUUCUACAAGUUAACUAAAAAUGAAGAACACUUACUGCAGUGAGCCUCUGGAAAAACCAUGGUGACAUUGAUUUUGUUGAUCACUAAAGAUGCAGCACACUCCAUGCCGAUAUAGCCACCACCGAUAACAACAGCAUUCCCAUUGGCGCUUGAUUCGAUCGCUGUGGCAAGCCUAUUUGCGUCACUCAGAUCUCUCAAGUAACAAACGUUUUCAGCAUCUGAGCCUUCCACCCCAAAUUCUUCGAGCUUCAACGCCUGCUUGCACAAGACACAUGUGACAAGAGUAAGGCAACGAAAAUGUUCAGGAAUGAGCAGAUGAUAAACAGACGCUCACAGCAUCUAACAGACGUUCCAGAAUUACAUAACCAUUGACUUCAGACAAUUCAAGACUUAACAGAUAGUAACAGACUGUAACAUCUCAAGGAGGAAAUCUUGAUGGUGAGAACCAGUAGUUUAUCAUACACGUUAAUGGCAUUUUCUCACCCGCAUACACUCUCUACUUUGGAAAAAUGAAACCAGGUAUAUCAUAGUGCAAUUCAUACCCUGGCACCUGUUGCAAUGAUCAGAAAUUUGUAACUUAUAGUCUCCCCAGUGCUCGACAAAAGAGUCUUCCUCCUCACAUCAACGGACUUGACACGAGUUCCAAGGACUAAUUCAAUUCCUGACACAAGCAUUUCACUAAAUUUUCAGAACUUAUAUUAUCAUAAGUCAUAGCCAAAGUAGGCAAGUAAAAUAGUCUUUUUUUCUGAAAAUCAAAAUCGCAUGUGUAGUUACCAUGUUCCUUGUACCACUUCGGGGUGAGCUUCUCAUCAUUAGCCCCAACACAAGUGUGGAAAGAGGGAAGCCGUGCAGGAUCUGCAGAUAAGAUCGUGGAUUAACGCGAGAACUAUAACUCAACUCUUUAGUUUCCCCCCAACUCCAAAACCAGAAAAACGCAAAGCGACCAGGUUUCACUUACCUUCCGGCAGUAGAAAACCUUUGCUCAACGCUGGCCUCUCAUAUGGUGCAACCUAAAGAAAAAAGCAAAAACAUAAACAUAGCUAAUUAUUCUCAAAGCGAAAGAAACAAAGGAUCUCCCUUUUCCUCUUAAUUUAAUAAUACUGACCCAAACUAAUGCUUCACAACAAUUACAAUUGAAAAACAUGAACCAAUAUUCAGGAAAAAAUUGCUGCCAAAGUGACUGUUUGACAAUAUCCAAAAAUGGAUAAACAAUAUCUAAGUGAGAUGCUAAGAAUGCAUGGAUGAGACUAGAUAAGAUACAAACUUCCACCGCAUCUCAGAUUCAUUUCAGCGUGAGAAUUCUAAGAAAGAGUUGCAACCAACACAGAAUUUCAAAAAUCUUGAGAGCAAAACCCCAAAUCUUUAGAUAAAUCCACACAAAGUUCGUAUAGUUAGUAACUUAGAGCAUGAUUAAUAGAGGGUUCUUAGGGUGGGGUUCUUAGCAGAAUAUAAGAAACCAACCGGCUCUUAAAUUAGUUUCUUAUAUUCCGACAAGAACCCUAUUUUAAAAACCCCUGAUUAAUCAUGCUCUUAAUAGCACUGUAACAUAUUAGUAGAAACUACAAGGAACAAAAGUGAGAGAGAGGCAAGCCUAACCAAUCUCUUUCUAAUACUCAUCAAACCACCAAAAUCUAAAACCUCUCAAUCCAAACUACAGAGUCUCACUCAGUAAUCAUUAGGGCGUAGAUUAUCAUCUCCUCCUAGCUAUCAAACACUAAAAUUCCAAAAUCAAUUCGAAGAAAGAAAGUGAUUUUAGGUCGUAGUGGGGUUACAGGUUCUUCGGAGAUGAUGCAGAGUUCGCCUUCGGAGACACCUCUCCUCGUGAAUUCCAGAGCUGCGUAGCCAGCAGCUACACCUCCUCCCAGAAUCACAUACACGAACGCUCUUNNNNNNNNNNNNNNNNNNNNNNNNNNNNNNNNNCGCUCUUCCCAUUCUCUCUGCUUAUCCUUUUUUUCACUUCCUCGAGAAAAUCAAAUCCUAAUUAUACGUUUUUAAAAUUUUUCCCGAAGAAAAAUAAUUUAUUUUCUGUUAUUUUUUUCCACCAGUGAAUAUGAUAUUCGAGGAUUGUGUUUGUUUAAUGACAGUUAUACCCCCCUCUUUGACUUCCUUAUAAAGGAACGGUUGGAUGAUAAGUUACGAAAAGGAUAACAUUAGAUCUUAGACCAUUCAUUUCUCUGGAGAAUCUGUUGUAGUGGGGACCCACCUUAGCUCUUUGCUUGCACGACUUGCUUGGCCCAUCAUCAUUGGUAAAAUGAUUAUUAUAUUAAAAAAUAUAUGCGAAAAUCGUCAGUAUGAAAUUGCUAAAGUUUAGACUUGGCAUUGGGAAGUGUGGUCGAGAUGAGGAUAUGGUGGCCGCGAAUUAAAGAAAAUAAUUUACUAUCUAUAUACUAUUAUAUCGCAAGACAAAACGAAACUUUUAUUGUAGACUGGCUUUUUAUUUUGUUUUUUUGGCUCAACUACUACUUUUCAUUCAUCCCAUAAUGUUUAGAACUACAAUAGACAAAUCUGUCUCAAACACAGAUUUUAAACAAACUGGCACAAUAGAAUAAAACUUAGAGACAUGAUUCUGUAAUGAAAAAGCCUCCUUUGCUAUCCUAUCUGCUGCUUUAUUACUCUCUCUUGGAUAAUACUCGAGCCUGUAGCCAGCAUUUCCAGUGAGACAGCUUUAUUGUAGACUGGAGUUUAGGUUCCGUAUCUCUGCCAAAGUGCCAACAAAGGUAACGUAUUUGAAAUAAACAAAAACCAGAAUGUUUUUCUUUUGGACUUGAAAUAAUAUGCAAUCAUCUUUGGGCUUGCCCUUUGGGUUAUUCACCAAUAUAUAUGCAGUCCCGCCUCUGACCUAUGCUAUCAUGGGUCCAAACAAAAUUCUGGUGUUAUUUUACUAAUUAGAAAAGUUCAUUUUAAUUUGUUAAAUUAUCAAUUAGUUGGUGAACUUAUAACAAAAAAGAUCCAUGAUUAAAAAAACCAAUUUUAAAUACAAAAAGACAAUAAUUCUUUUUAAAUUUCACUGUUCUUAAUUUUUUUACAACAAAACCUAAUUUACACUUAAAGCCCACUUUUCUUUUAAUACCACAAAUUUUUGUUUGCUUCAUUUUAAAUAAAUGCAAUCUUUUUUUAAAAAAAGGUCUCUAUUUUAUGUUUGGCUUAAGGACAUUAAAUUUUUUAAGACGACACUGUAUAUAUGGGUUUUCUCUCAUAAAGGUAAAAGACUUAUUAUCUAAUAAAGUAGAAGUAAUUGAUUUUAGAUUUCAAUAGUUGAUAUUUUAGAUUUUUGUUUUAUUUUUUUCAGUGCUAAAACAAAAAUUUGUUUUACAAUCAAUUUUGUGCAAAUUUUAGAUUUAAAUACUAUUUAAUAUCUAAUAGAUACUAAAAUUUUUGAUAAUCAAACUAUUAAAUGCUAAACUUUUAAUAUUUUAAAUUAUUAUUCAACAAUUAUAACAUUAUAAAUAUAACAUGUACUUUUUGUAUAAUAUUAUCAUCUCCGAAAUCACGGAGAAACAUGCUAGAUUGGAUAUAAUUGGAAACAUUAAAAUAAAUGAAAAUCUAGCAUUGAUGUCACAAUUUUCUUAAUACAUAUUUGUGAUAAUCAAGUGUUAAAAAAAAACAUAUUUGUGAUAAUCAUUAUUGGUAAUAUUAUUUGUUUAGUUAUUGUGGUAAGAUGAUUCUUGAUUUUGUUUUCUUUUAGAAUUGAAUUAAAUAAAUUAAUAAUAAAAAAAAUCAUCAACUAAUCAAAUUAAAACAAUUAAUUAGAGAGUUUUCAUAUGAAUGACACUUAAUAAAAAAUCACUAAAUAAUUAAUAUAUAGUAAGAAAUAUGAUACAGUAAGAUAAGAUUUAAAAUUAAAGGAAAAAAAAAACACUUUUUAGUAUUUUGAAUCUGAAUCGAUGAAACCGAAACACUGAAUGGGUGUUUCCAUUCCAAAACCGACGUCAUUUCUCGAUGCUAUAAAUUGCUCGCGGAGAUGAACAUGGAUAGUCACUUCAUUUCUUCUCCGACAACUUCUCCCUCCUAGGUUUUUGUCUUUCCAUCAAGACAUGCAUGGUUACUUCUCGCACCAUUGAAAUUGAAUCUCAAAGUCGUAUUAUUCACUUUUUUUUUUUGGUUUUGUCGGCUAUAGAUACUUAAGUUACUAGAGAAAAAACUUCUUGGUUAGUCAUAAACUUUGCUAGGAGAUGUUAUUAUUAAUGGAGGUUAAUCCUUGUCUGUUCAUGUUUGCUUAAAGCUUAAUUUUUCUCUCUGGUUUUACAGCGAACAUGGCUGAACCUGCAACGGAAGAGAAGAAGAUGAUACCAGACUGGACUAAGCUCCCUGAAGAGCUGCUUCAGAUUAUCACCCAUAAAAUGAACUGUUUCGAUGUUGUUCAUGCUCGCUCUGUCAGCACCUUGUGGCGAUCCGCAUUCCCAUAUCCGGCUUCCCUGCUGCGCUCAAGUUACUCUCUUCCCACUUAUCCUGUCGAAAAGGACGGCUUGUGCUCCCUCCACAAGAUCCCUCUUGUCCUCGUCAUUGAUGAGUCGGCUUGUGAGUUUUUCAUGGGAUUAGUAGGCCGAGAUGAGUCUGCUGACUACAUGGAGGAGGUUCCAUCUCCUCUUCAGUGCUCGCUAAGGGUGAAGAUGCGAAAAUCUGAUCCAACAAUAUUGAUGAACGUGAUCGGCUCCCAGAUCGUAUCUCUAGGCCAUCAGUACACAAUGGUUUGUUGGGAUCCAAAAGGAUUGAGAACAACUUACAAAAACGCUGCUGCUAUUCUUCCGCUAGGAGGAGGAGAGUUCGUUGUGCUCCGUAUCUUCUCGGGAACUUUAUACGUGUUAACAGUGCUAAAAGGAAGUGGGUGCAGCUUCGGGGCGUUCCAGGUUUUCGAUGCACUGCUUUAGUCACUUUUAGAGGAAGGUUCUAUGCUUCAUUCUUCUAUGACAAGGAAAUUCUCGCUAUCCAUCCUUAUUCGCUAGUAGCAGUUCGCCUGAUACCUCAAAACUUUACCUGUGAAAUCACUUAUCUGAUUCCAGCUGGUGAUGAUGAGCUUUUCCUGGUUAAGAAAAACAAACCUUAUAAUGUUUCGGUAACAUGUAGAGUGAGUAGGCUGGUGGGUUUAGGAUGGGCCGAGGUCGAUGAUAUAGGAGACCGUGUGUUGUUUAUUGGAGAAGAUCAUGCAAAUGUCUGCUUCUCGGCUAACCAGCUUCCUGAUGGUUGUGGUGUGACCGGGAACUCGAUUUUGUUCUCCGCACCACCAGGCGAUGAAACCUACUUCUGUAAGUAUGGACCACCCGAAGUUCCAAAAGAAAACGUGGUGGGUGAAUGGAGAAGCUCAAGAGAGAGCCGUGUGAAAUUCAUUGAUUCUCAUGAGGCCUAUGCUUUCCGGGUUGAGUUUUGAGGACAUCUGUUGCUUUUGCUUUUGUUUUUGUUUUUGUUUUUGUUUUUGUUUUUGUUUUUGUUAGAUCAAAACAAACUUUUCCUAUGAUUUUAGGUAUUGACCUGAUGUCUGGGGAAAAAUGUUUUGGGUGGCCUUUCUCUUAAUGAAGUUUCAGUUUGUCUUAUUUGCCUGGAGAAGUUUCCAGUCGUAUCAAUACUUUCUUGGUUAUGUUAUGGUCCUUGUAGAUUAUUAAUUUGCAAGCAUGUUGACUGUACAUGUCUUCCUCGGUAACCAAUCUCUUCAUUAAAUAUAGUGCUAGCACAACUUUGCUAUUUCUUUUUCCUAUUAGUAAUAGAUAACUCUUAAUACUAUUGGUUCAUAUAUUUUAAUGGAUUUAAAAAUACAAGUCAAAUCUAGUGUUAUCAGUUCUGUGAUUUAAAAAUCCAUAUCCAAAUUCAUUGUUAUUGGUUAUAUGAUUUUAAAAUCUAUAUUCAAAUCAAUUGUUAUUGGUUUUAUGAUCUUAAAAUAGAUUUUAAAAUCAGGUGUUAUUCAAUAAUAGUAAUUUGAUUUAAAAUUAGAUUUGAAUUGAUUUAUGAAUGAUUUUAAGUUAAAAAUACAAAAGAGCAAAUAUUAAGUUGAACCUUGAUAUUUUGACAAAUCUGUAUUAUUGGUUUUCCUAAUAUCUUUUCGGCACCAAGUUUCGUAUAUAUGUAUUGCAUACGUUAAUUAUAACAAGCACUCACAAAGAUAUGAUUAUUUUGUUCGUUAGUGUGCUUGUAACUUUUCCAUUUUGUUAAACAUGGAGCACUCAUCACACUUUUGAAAGUUUUCUAUGUUUCCAAUUGUCCAAUUUCUACAUUUUCCUAGUUUUCUAUUUCUAUCGUAGUGGUCGGUCUAUCAUAGUUAUAUAUAAUCUCGACUAUGCAUUAGAAAAUUAACACAAGAAACAAACACUUUAAAACCCUAAAAGAGCAUCAAUGGAAGAAUCACAACAAGAACCACAAGAAGGUGGAAAAAGUUCUUAUGUUCAAUGGAGUCCUCAAGAAAAUAACACUUUGAUAAAUCUACUUUUAGAUUGUAUUACUGCAGGUUUACGUGAUAGUAAUGGUCUAUUCAGCAAAUUCACAGUGGAGAGAAGAAUUCUACCUCCUCUCAAUUAACUAUUUGGCUGAUUUAUGAUAAUCCAGUUAUUUUGAUUUUGAAAUCUAUAUCAUUGAUUCUGAAAUCUACUUAUUUGACUUUAAAAUCUAUGUAUUUAUCAAGAAUUUCUAAAUCCAAGAAAGAAUCCUAAAUUCAUUAAAAUACUACAACCAAUAACCCCCCCUUUUUUUUUUUUUUUUGUGCGAAAACAUACUUGAAUUAUAAAUAGAACCAAAGGAACAGAGUAUUUUACUCAUCCAACAGAGGAGAGUUAGCUAAAGAAACUAAGGCUGUUUUAGCAAGAGUAUCAGCCAAAACAUUUCCCUCACGCGGGAUGAAAUUAAAAGACAGGAAACUAAAGGUUUUGGAUAGAGAAUGGAUAUCAGCGAGUAGUCCCUGAAUCCAAACGUUGUUCUUCUUGGUUGAAAGAAGUGUGAUGAGACUUUUAGAGUCCGAAAAGACCAUAAGUGAGUCAAUACCACGGUUAGCUGCUGUAGAGACUGCAGCUCUUAACGCCAAAGCCUCUGCUACAAGGGCUGAGGAAACUGAGCGGCGUUUUGAAGAGAAGGUGCCUGCCGGUGCAGAUGUGGGGUCACUGAAAUGCCAUCCCAUACCACAGUUGCCAGAACUAGCAUUCCAUGCGGCAUCUGAGUAGACACUCCAUACGUGGGUACCAAUAACCCCCACUAAACCUAUCUUAUCCUUCACCAACUAGUUAGAGAUAUCUUGGGCUUCAAGAAGAACAAUUGAGUGGGAAUAUCUAAACUGGUUAGUCUAGAUUAUAUAAACUGGUUAGUGUUGUUUGAUCACCAAGUCAUUGUCAAUUUAUAGUCCAUGGAUUCGGAUUCCUUGUCUCUCUCUUGAGUCUUGCUCAGGUUCUUCCAAUAGCUUUUACAAAGUUGAAUAAGAUCCGAAUGGCAAAGAGGAUGAGCCUAUUGGAUAAACACGGCGUGAAGUGGUCUAUAAAGCUUUGGUUUGAGAAGGAACGUAAGAGAAUGAGAUUGGUAGGAGGUUGGAAAGAGUUCUACGACGCUAAUGAUGUGAAGAUAUAAGAUUCGAUCAUGCUGGAGCUGAUUUGGUAAGCAGACAGAAACUAUAUUCUAACGCUUCUGUUCCAAUGUGAAAUCCAUUAAGAAAAUUAAUUUGUACCUCAAGUUAUUGAAUUGCAUGAAUCAAUGUUUUAACCGGUGAUAUCUGUUUGUAACAAAGGCUGUGCUAAAGUCGAAUUCUGGAAUGCUAUGUUUGUGUGAAGAAGACAAUGUAAUCUGCUUUUGAUGUGUUGGUAUUAUUUUUUGAAAUAGUGGUCCUCAGUUAUGCUGUGAGCUUGUUACUUCACUUGUUUGCUAAGCUGAUACAUAUGUUUACUUGAGCUAGUUUGUAGUUAAGUCUUAUAGAAGCUGAAUCACAAAUAUACUGGAAAAUGUCAAAUCAUUCAGUGGUUAAGUUGUGUUCAUAAGAAGAAAUUAUUUUGAAAGCUUGCAGGAACAAUAUAUUAAAUCUAAAAGUAAUUAAAUAGCAUAAAAACUAACAUCUUUAUGAUUAUUUUGUAUACUUUUGCUAUUUAGUGAUUCAUUUGCCAUUUUCCACAUUUCGUUUUUAUGUUGAUUAUUGGCCAUGUUUUCUUCUUUCUAUUGAAUAAUAGGAGUAUUAACCGAUAUUAUUUGGUACCAAAACAAAAUUAGAAAGUUCAUUUUAAAAAUAUUUUGGGUAUCCAAACUUAAGGGUUCAGUUAUUUCCGGUUUCGUUUACGGUUUACCACGAGUCUCGAAGUUGAAAAUGCAAGGCAACUUAGAACCUCGAGAUAUAUAGAGAAGGACUAUACUAGUAUCAUUUUUGUUUAGAAAAAAAAUACGCCUCAAACCACUUUUUCACUUUCUAAUUUCAUUUGGCUACAUAGUAAUUGCCACAUACUUUCUGAUGAGAGAAAGACCUUAAAAACUCAAAACUCUCUAGUUACCAAUUUUUAUAUUUUGUUAUUCUUUCAUCGUUCUUCUUUUUCAUCUUCCUCUUUUUGAUCUCUUUUUUUUUUUGCUAAAUUGUAAAUAUCAUUUCAAAAAAUAAAGUGUUGAGAUAUACAAGAUUUUUCAAACAAAUUAUAAAACACAUGAAAAUCAAAAGCGAUCGAACAUGUAACCGUUCUGCUUUGGAGUGAAUAUCACAACUAGCUCAUGCACGGGUAUAAAUAUUAUAAAGUAAAUAUAAUAUAAAAAUUUAUUAAUAUUUUUUUAAUUUUAUUUAUUCUGUUACUUAUAUUGUAAUCAAUAUGCAUUGUUUAUUUUAAAUAGCAUUUUGUUAUUUUAAUUAGAAGUAAAAUUUUGGAUAUAUAAUAUUUCGACUGUUUGGUUAUUAUUUAAAUAUAUUAGAUAACAUUUAAUUUUCGAUUCAACUAUAAUAUUUUUAUUGUACAAAUUAUUUUUUUUUUUAAUUUUGAUAUUUUCAUGUAGUUUCAUUCUUGUCUUAGAUUUGUAAAUAUAUUUUAGUAUGAUUAUGUAUAAUUUAAUAUAGUAUGUUUGAGGAUCAAAUAGUAAAAUUAAACUAAAGUGUUGACGAUUUAAAGUUACAUAAAUAAACAUAAAAAUGAUAGUCCUUUGAAAAUUUAUGCAUAUAUAUAAGUUAUACAAAAUACUUAAUUGUAAUAGUUGGUUACUAUAUUUAUAAUAUUAUUUGAAAAUUUCAUAUUUAUUUAGUAAUAUGUUGAGUUGUUCUAUAAUUUAUAUGUAUAAGAAUAUUACUAUAAACAAAAAUAUAUUAUUUUUAAUUUUAAUGUUUGACUUUGUAUAAGAAUUUGGAUUAGUCUAAUAAUUAAUUUUGUGGGUAUAUUGUGUCAUAUAUUCAGUCAAAUUAAAGUAUAAUGAUUUCUGAUAUAAUUCAACCAAAUCGUAUUAACUGUAUUUAUUGUAUUAGUUUGAUUUGUUCAUCUUAGAUGUGUAAAUAAAUUUUUUAUUUUAGUAAUUUAGUAUAUGUUAAUUUGCAAAAAAUAAAGUGAUGGUAGGUACAAAGUUACAUGAAAAAUAACCGAUAAAUUUUGAAAGAGAAGAUUAUUUCUUUACUUUACGAUGAGAUAAUUUUUUUAACUCAUAUUUUCUAUUUUGUGUAACAGAUUGAAUAUUAUCUUGUAAGUAUCUAAAAAUCAACAAAAUUAUUCAAAAAAAUUUAGGUUGGAUUAAGAAUUUAAAAUAAUAUUUUUAUGGUGAAUAUAUUAUUGAUUAGAUGAUUAGACAUUUGUUUUAAGAAGAAAACCCAAAACGAUCACAAAAUAUCAUAUAAAAACAAAAUAUGUAAUGACUAAUUUCAAACUUAAUCAACAAUUAAAAUAAUGUGUCUUCUGGUGUUCAACUAUCUACUGCUUUGUGCAGUUCUAAGAUUUAAAACAUUUAGUUUUGACCCAUGUUUAAAAUCAAUCUGGGUCUGCCACUGAUUGAGAUUACAUGUAAAAAUGUGGUUGCUAAGUAGUCACAGAAUUUUACGAUUAACUUGGGAAUAGCACGUUGUGAUGACGAAGAAAUAAUGAUGCAACUUAUUAGUCAGUAUUGUUUGCGACAAUAUUGAAACUACUUGUAAUGUAACUAUGUAAGUAAUGUAGUUGAUACUAUUUAGACAAACAUCACCGGAAUAUAUCGAGGAGGGCCGAACAUCUCAUAAAGAAAAAUCUUGAGGCAACUAACAAGAAGUACAAACCAGUUAUGUUGUCCUUUUUAUGUAAGUGAUUAAAUCAUUAAUUGAAGGUUAUCUAAUAGUAUCAAUAACUCAUAAUAACCAAAAUCAUUUAUGAUAGAUGAGCCGACCUCAACAUUAACUCUGUAUAAAUAUAGUUAAAAUAUGUCAAAUUCAUCGAGACGGGAAGAAACUGGUUUAUGCUAUAUAUGGAAAGUACAGCAAAGGCAUACAAGAACAAUACUCCAAGCAGAUAAAUGAACAAAGAUAAAAGAGAAGAUAGUAAAACCCAAUACUUCCACGUCUAUUAUAUUUGUAAAUUCUAAGCCACUUUAAUUUAUGUUUGUGACCGACUCGCCAUGUGAUUUUUCCUUUAUAAUUCACAUGGGAAGUUGGCAAUCUCCACAUAAACGCGUUGGCCUAGUAAAAAAAAUUUGCUAUUCUUUUUAAAUUCAAAAUUCAAGCUAAUUAUCUAAUAUAAGUAUCAAGUUUCAUCACAAAUAUAAUUAGCAUGGAAUCUGGAUAUAACUGAGACGCUGUAGAUUGAUCUGAGAUGUCUUAAGAAUAAGACAAGAUAAAUCAGAAGAAAAAAACUUAGUUUUGAGAAAACAUGUUAUAAUCUUAUACCACAAAUUAAAAUACACAUAAUAUAGCAAAUCUAUGACAUGACCUACUACAUCCGUUUACUUUAGCUAUUGAGGGUGAAAUCAGUUCCAUGUUAUAUGCAUCAAUUCGAUCGUGUAAGUUAUCUUACGGCAUUUGAAUCAAUAAGAUAUUCGAUCUAAAAACUAAUCCAAUAACAAAUCAUCAUGCAUAACUCAGAACUUGAUUCUUUGAUAUUCCGAGAGCUAGUGACCAAUAUGUCUUUCACUUAUGGUUUAGCAAUAAUACGUUUAAAACCAUAAAAUAAAUCUUUAGAGUUUGAAUGAGGAUUGAUGUCUUAGCAAUAAAAGAAAGAAAGAAAAAGAAUGAGGAUCGAUGUAAAGACGAGACCGGAAAAUAUAAUGCAUUUUUUUCUGAGAAAAUAAUGCAUUCACUUGGUAGUUGGUACAUUACCUUGCUUUUUUUUCAUGCACAAUUUAUUUUUGUUCAGUUUUGUUUUUAACGCCGUUAUUUUUCAUGAUUUUUAUAUAAAACAUGAAAAUAGUUUUUCCACUUUUUAUAAUUUACCCCGAAAACGAAGACGCUAUAUCGGCACCUGCUAUUUUCUUAAAUAUCUUUACAUAAUUUCUUAUAUAUAUCCGUCGAAAAACAAAUGAAUUAUCAAUUAUUCCCAUUCUAGCCAAUGCAUAGAGAAGAGAAAGUGUAGCUUGGAUUUAUCCUCUACACAUGCUUCAUUCGGACAAAAUGUGUCGUUGGCUAAAGACUUAAAGUUAAGAAGUUCGGUAAAGCUUAAAUGCUUUUGCCGUCUUGCAAUAGUGCUUGCACUUCCCAACCUAACUUCAUGUCCAUUGACCAACUAUUCUAUCCGAUGUAUGCAGAUAAUAAAUCUACACAUCAAUACUCAUUUUUAUAACCGUGGAGAUCCAAAAACUUUAUAGGCCCAAAAUUUUAUCUCACAAAAUUUUACAUUCGGGCGGACACGAUCUAAAUGGCACGGCUAGGUGGCCAAGACGAAUUGCCACUGAACUUAAGACAACUUGGUUUACACAUCAAUAUUCAUACUUGCUUUAUUAUCAUAUCAAUAUAUAUAUAUAUAUAUACACUUACGGCUCAAUUACUCUUUACGUUUCUAGGCUCGUCGAAUCUUAUAUUCCAUACAUGUUCAUCCCAUGUUUGUACCUUUUUAGAUGUAAAUAUUUACGGAUUUUGACGCAUGGAUGCAAAUCAGUGAUAAAGAACCAUUUUAUAGAUUCUCUAUUUAUUUAAACAGUCUAUUUCUUCCUUUGACAACGAAAAUAAAAUAAAAGAUAAAGUCGAUAUCUUCGUCUUGAAGAUUGUGGUUUUAGUUAAUGGAGUUAGGCUUACGUCGGGUUCUGCAUGUUGAAUGGCGAUGCCCAAAAAUGGAUAAAAAUUGUUGAAUAAAGGCAUCGUGAACUGUACAAAAGCUAUCUAUUUUCAGCUGUGACACUUGUCUUCUUGCUAUUGGUGAAAUAAGGUUUCAUAUGCUUGUGUCAUGUGAUAUGUAAAUGCAUCGGUCCACAUGUAUAUGUAUAGACACGCCUAACUCAUGUGUAUCUGUUUUAAAGUUAGAAAAUAACUAUGUAUUAUUUUAUUUUUUAACUAUAUAUUAAUUGUACGAAUAUGUUAAUUACUAUUCAUUCAAAUGUAGUUAUCGUUUAUUGGUUAACGGAUAGCUCAUAGCUGUAUCAGUCAGGUAUAAGCUUGGACGUUUUUAAUAGUCGAGUAAGAUGUGAUAAAACCUCCAAAAUACAUUACACUAUGGAAGUGGAACAGAGAACAAAUAAACAAACGUUUGUAUUGGAAUAUACAAAUCAUAUGCAAAAACUAGUUAGUGUUAUCAUUUAUACAUGACACAAACAUUCCUACGACAAAUUAUUCAACUAGUACAAAUAUAAGGCCAGGAAAUAAAUGACCCCUUCCAGUUUUAUUUAUGUAUAACAUCCAACGGGUUGCAAUAAAGUUCAAAAUAUAUAUCAAGGAUUAUGAUUAUUGAUAUUAUAUAAAAAGUAUAUCCCCAAACCUCGAAACGUCGAGGCAAAAACCAUAUACAUGUCACGUACUAAUCACAGUACUAAAAAUCACAAAUCUCAAAGUAAUAUUCCAUAUCUUGUUUUCCGAGCGAUCGUUGUUAAUCAAUUACCAUUGAGUAAAUGCAUUGAUGACCAGAUAUCAUCCAUGCCCCAAUAGUUUUCACCAGUUUGAUCAUCAACGGUCAUCGGUACCGGAUAAUCUGCUGUCGUCGCAGCCGUAGUCACCGGAGCCACAGGCGCAGAGUAGUUACCAUAGUUGAAUUCCAUAUUGGUAUGUUGAUACGACGUUGUUGUAGGAGAAUAAGUAUCCAUCGCCUGGUCUUGUGCACAAAAGACAUUAUGGGCCGACGUGCUUGCAGCGUGAUCAUUGAUUUCUGAACUCUGAGAUCCAACGGACGACGUUGCAGUUGCUGCUACAUCGGUUUGUUUGAUGUAUUUUUGUAUUCUUGUCCUCCAGAAAUUUUUGAUCUCGUUGUCGGUUCUUCCUGGAAGGUGUUUAGCGAUUUUUGACCACCUGAUCAUAUAUAUUAAAGUGUUAAUUUAUUUAUGAGAUAAGUAUUUAUUAUUUAAUAUAAGGAUAACUAAGAUGAUGAGCUCAUGAUUGUUGUGGGGUUAGCGGUCUAAUCCGUGACUGCGACAAACCAAGUACGUCUAGAUGAAUCCAAAACAUUAAGGUUUGCGUCUAUUUCAAUUAUGCCUUUUCUUGUUGUCAGGAGACUUUAUACUUUUGUUCACAUGUACUAUGUUUGGAUCUUUUUCAAGCCUUAUAAAGUUUGUUAAAUUUUUUUUAUCCCUUAUCCUUUUGGUAAAAGCGUUACUUUUUUUUGUUUAUUUGUUUGUUAAAAGGGUCUAUAAAGUGUAAUUCUCUGAUUUAGUAAAAGCUUGCUAUCUUAUGAAUAAAUUGUCUACAUCAUGAAUUAUGAAAAUUUUAGUAUAAUCAGGCUGAUAUACCUAAUAGGCUCAUACUCAUAUCCGUAAUUAGUAUACCAGAAGGAGGUAUCUUCCCAUGAAACGAUAAACUAAAUUGUACUUACUUAAAAAUGCAGACAAUCUGUACCUUUUAAUCUUGGGCAUAAUUUCCCAGCUCUUUACGUACAAAACAAAUAGAAAUAGAAAUUGGAUAAACAAACAGACAAGGAAAUAAAUAGAGCCGCGUAAAUCUUUCAGAAACGUGGGAAAUCAACUUGAAUAAUUACGGAAAUUAUGUUCUUUAUAAAUCAUAUGAAAAUACGCACGAGGUUUUCAUGUUGUUUUGAUAAACAUGCACGAGGUCUAAUGUUAGUGGCUUGGAAAAUUCGACAUGUGCAGGAAAUGAGAACUGACGGCCAAGAAAAAACUUCGAUCAAAGAUUGUCACAAAGGAAUUGAACGUUUUUGUUGCUUUAAUCACUAAAUGUGUUGCUUUAUUGUCUUUUCAAAGAUCUACGUGGCUAUAUAUAGCCUCAAGAGUAUAUAAACGAUUCAAAGUUCGAGUAUCUUUGUUUGAGAAAGAAAGUUAGAAAAUUUUGCCUUUGUUCUUUUGUUACACAUAGUGUAUGUCAUGUAUUUGUAUAUAGUCAUUUAUGUUAAUUAAAACUUACCUGUUUCCCCACUUAGCAUGAAGUUCCAUGAUGAUAAGUUGCUCCUCCGGCGUGAUGUUUCCACGUCGUACGUCAGGGCGGAGAUAGUUCAGCCACCGGAGCCGGCAACUUUUCCCGGUGCGUUUUAGACCUAAACGUUUAUUUAAUAAAUCAUCAUAGUCAAAUAUUGUUUCAUACGUACUUGCAUAUCCACAGAUGUGUAUUUAUAUAAAUCAUGGAUCACUAAAAUACUGUUUAUUAUUAGAAUACUUAUAUGUAACUUGUCUUACAUAAUUUUCAUUUAUCCCUAGGCCUAUAAGAACAUUUACGCAAAAACGUCUUUGGAGGUUUCCUUUAAUUUAGAUCAAAUUUUAACAAGGAAAGAACAUAUUAACAAAACAGUUAUCGUUUUUACCAAAGAAUUGAUGAUAUAGAUAGCAAUUGUGCUUCAUAGGUGUAGAUAAUAACUAUAGAAGAUUAAAAAAAAAAUUGGUAUAUGAGUGAUACAAGAUUGUUACUCUUGUAUGAUACCUAUGCAAGUUAUGUAGAAACCCUAGUUUAUAUAUUAAAAUACAACGUAAGAUAAAUCUAUAUAUACACAUACAUAUUGGUGAUUAAUUAUAAAUUGAAAUUCUUUAAGAGGAAAUUAAAUGAACCUGCAGAUUUGGCGAGAGUGUUCCAAACGCCAUCGCCGUGGUUGGCGAUAUAGUUGAUAAGAAUAAGAUCUUCUUCCAUCGUCCACGGUCCCUUUCUCACCUCUGUUUCUCCUGAUGAUCCCGAACCUCCACUACAUAUUCCUCCUCUUUUGUCCAUUUUAUUCUUAUUUAUUAAUUUAUAACUUAUAGCUAGAUGGAGAGGAAUAUAAAAGAAAGAGUGACGAGUAAGAGAGAAGGUUGUGGUGAGUUGAUAUUGAAGGUUGUGGAAGGUGAGCAACUGCUUUUAUAGAGACUAAAUUCACCGCGUGAUUAGCAAACCUUAAUCCAAAUUCUUAAUU
rnacentral:lncRNA from 1 species